UAAAAAUGAAAAUCUGUUUAUCCAUAAAUUCCUUUGAACGCCUUCAACUUCAAACUGUUCUUACAGGGAGUGAACCUUAUGAUGAGAAACAACCAAGUUAUGUACCACGGGAAUUAGUGAAUCAGGUCUUGAAACACGGUGAAACAACCUACCAUUGUUAUUUGAUAGAGUUAAAACAAAAUUUUAGCUAUGAUAUCACUGUUCAAAACAUCUAUCUUGCAACGAGAGUUGAGCUCAAUCGAGAAAUUGCAAGCAUGCAAUUUGAUAUGGGUUUUGACAAAGGUUCCUUGUCAGUAAGCUUCAUACACAAAGGAGCCAUUCAUCUUUCCCCAGAUAUGGUAUUUCUCUAUUACUCCUUUUGUUGUAUCUGGCGUAUUUGCAGGUGUAGGGAAAAAUCAUUGAAGUGAUUGUUUGCAUGUUUGUUUUAUGUUACAGGUAUCUUUAUGUAAAAGAUUCCAGGUUACUAUCCUUAGAAUUCUUCUCGAUCAUAAUAUGGAUAGGUUGCAAACUGCUUUAGAAAAGUGUUGUUUGGAAGAUGGUCUUGAGAUUGAUUAUCUUCUGCUUCCAAGUAUGGUUAAUGAGCAAGGACCAACUAUUGAUUGGCUUACUGUUAAUUCGGUAAAUUCAUCUAAGAUUGGAUGUCAGGAUCACACACCCAAUAUACAAACCAAAGAUGGUCUAGUUUGCCGUUGCAUAAUACAAAAUUCUUUGGUUUGUACUCCUCAUAAUGGUUAUAUUUAUAUCACCACUGGUAUGAUGAAUUUGGAUGGAACCUCUCCUCUAAAACUUAAGAGUGGUGAAGUAAUUACGUACAAGAACUACUUUAAAAAGAAGUAAGUAAUUAUUUGCGGUUGAUGUUUAUUCUCAGGUUAAUUUAUCUACCCAGAUGCAUUAUUUUUUGUCAGUUUAAUUUAUCUACUUGUAUUCUUAUUAAUCCUUUUCUAAAUUGCAGUCAUGGCACACAAUUGUAUUUUGAACAUCAACGGCUACUUAAGGCAAAACGCAUUUUUCAAGUUAAAAAUUACUGUCAUGGACCCAAACAAGAGAAGGAUAGAGGUUUGAUCUUUUAUUUUUCUGUUUGUUUCUUCUCUUCCUUAAUCUUUUCUUGUGAGAUUGGACCAAUUAUACAAUCCUUUGUUGUCUGUAAAUACAUGGAAGAUAUUGUUUCUUUUGUUAAAUCUAACAGAGGUGGUAUGGGUGAAUAGUAGGUGGUUGAUCAUGCCUGAAUCUUAAAAUUAGGGUUGGCUAUGUGGCCAUUAUUAAUAUUAAUUCGAAUUUACUUAAUGUAUUCCUUCCAUUGCUAGCCCUAUGAUAUAUAAUUGAGCGGAAGUCAGGUUAACUGAUUUUUGGGACAGGAAAUAUUAUAGUGGCCUCUGUCCUCCUUGUAUGAGGCACAUAAUUUUCAGCUUUCUCAAAUGUUACCUCUGUACUGGCUUGCUUGUUCCCAAGUAUUAAUUUUAGUCUUACUAAGAAUAUGUUUUCUAUUAGUGGUGACAGUUAUGAAUAACUAGAAUUUAAUUUGCAGUAUCAUGGUGUCUAAAUAUAUAGCAGUGCCAUAUAUAUCAGUCCAAAGUUGGUUGUUCCCAAGUGCUAUUUACAGCCUUAUUAAGUUGGUUGUUAAUUUAGUUAGCAGUGUUAUGAUGCUUAAUUUUUUCAUUUUAAUAUCAUAGCUGUAUUAUAUAAUAUAUACGAAAAAAAAGUUGCUGCUGUAUUUAGGGUUGUCUGUUUCCCAGCACAACCAAUAUGUAAUCCAAUCUGAAUCCUAAUGUUUAUGUUUUUCAUUUUCAGAAGCAAGCAAGACAUUUGUUGAAUUGCCUCCUGAACUAUGCUGUGUAAUCAUGUCACCAAUAUCAGACAUUACCAUUUAUUCCUUCUCAUUUAUCCCUUCCAUCAUGCAUAGACUUGAGUCUUUGCUUGUUGCUGUCAACCUAAAGAUGCAUAUGGGUAGUCGCUGGUUGAAUGAAAUUCACGCACUCAAGGUUGGAUACUAUUGAAUUCGUACACAUUGCUCAUCAUUAUAAUCUAAAUUUUAUAUUUUCAAGUUCUUCUUUUUCCCAAAAUAGACAAUUUUAUAAUUUUUUGUUGAUUAUCCUUACGAACCAAAAAGUUGCAGAAAAAUGAUAUUUUACUGUAUUUUUUUCUUAUAAUGAAUGUAAAAAAUUCCUUCUCUCCGUCUACCCUCUACUGUCUGAACCAGUAUCUAAAUGUGCAUUCCUUUGUAACUUUCAACGUCCAGUCUCAGUAUUAUCUGAAUGUGUGUUCCUUUUUUCUUUUAUCACUUGUCCAACAUAUUAAAGACAUUUAAACUGAUGGUAUCUGCAUUUUGCAUUGUAGGUCCUGGAAGCAAUUACCACGAAAAGAUGUAAGGAGACCUUCCAUUACGAGUCUCUAGAGACUCUUGGAGAUUCUUUUUUAAAAUAUGCUGUCACACAACAUCUUUUUCAGGCAUAUCAAAAUCACCAUGAAGGUCUCCUUACUCUGAAGAGGGUCAAGAUCAUUUCUAAUGCUGCCCUCUGUAAGUUAGGGUGCAGCUGUGGACUUCCGGUAUCCUCUCUCUUUGAUAUAUUAUUAUUACAUUUUCUAUGCUCUAUGAUGUCUAAUGGUGCUGCCUUUACCCUAUUUUAAUCCAUAUAUCUGUUAUCAUUCUAGUCCUUUAAAAAUAAAUUUUAUCAAUUAAAUCCUUAUAGUUUAAAUACCCAAUUUUUAAGUCCUUCCACUCAUUCAAUAUUGUCAGUUACGGAUAGGUGGAAUGACCAAAUAUUUCAACCUUCCAAAGUUUAAGGAAUUAAUUGACAAUUUUUAUUUUUGAAGGAAUAAAUUGAUAAUUGAUGCCUCUAAUAAGGACUAAAAUGGGGUUUUAGUCUUUUUCAUCUUGAGAGUCAAAAUAUCAUAGAAUAUUUAUUUGUAUUUUGGUUUAUAAGUUUAUUUCUUUACAUGUAUAGGUGAUUUCAUGCUGCAGUAUAAUUACUGAUAAAAUGACAAAUAAUAAGCGAUUCAAUGUUUCAAUUAGAAGUCUGUAAGAGGCUAAAACUUUGAAUCAAUUGCCUAAUUGCAACUAUUUUGGUGAUUAUCAAGUUUUAUAUUUUAUUUGCUCUCUGAUUGAGAUUAAAUUUUAUGCACUGACAAUGUAAAAAGUUUUACACAAUUAUUCAAUCACAACCUUCCAUUUUCUAUUUUAAAUAUUAUUAAAUUCAAAAUUAAUUAUGAGCUAGCAAAAUGGAGGGAUGUGAUUGAAUGACUGUGUAAAACUUAUUCACACUGUCAGUGCAUAGAAAUUAAUCUCCUCUGAUUUGAGAUGAUCAAAUUGUAAAAUUUACAUUCUUUACCAUGAGUAAUGUGCUCUCUGAACUAUAAUGCUUAUGCCAUGAGGAUUACAUUAUCUGAUUAGCUUUUAUUAGAUCCAUUCUCAGUUGAGUUGCUGAGAUUUAGGUUUCUGCAUUGCCAUCUUGAAACUGUACUUUGCUGAAAAUGUAUUAAUUUAUCUUGUUGGGGUGCUGUUCUUUCAAGUUGCAGGGCUUCAUACGAAAUGAGCCUUUUGAUCCUAAUACUUGGAUUGUUCCUGGUGAUAAAUCUGGAGGUUUGAAAUUAAAAGAGUUGGUUUCCGAUGGGACUAAAGUUUAUUUUAGUGGAAUGAGAAAUUUAAAACGGAAGAUUAUUGCUGAUGUUGUUGAGGCACUUAUUGGUGCCUUCCUUAUCAGCGGUGGUGAAAAUGCUGCCCUGUUGUUUAUGGAUUGGGUUGGUAUUAAAGUUUGUUUUGAUAUCAUACCCUAUGAGAGGCACUUUAGCACCUGUGUGGAGAAGCUAGUGCACAUCAGCCUGCUAGAAUCCAAAUUAAAAUACUCAUUCCGUGAUAGUUCUCUUUUGGUAGAAGCUCUAACACAUGGUUCAUACAUGUUGCCGGAGGUGCCUACAUGUUAUCAGGUACUUGUUGUUAUUAUCUAUCAUGUGGAAACUGGGAAUUAGCUUGUACCUUUGAUAGGAACAACUUUUCUCAACAACAUAUUUACUAGCAUAUCAUUUUUCGAGUCUUGAUGGAAUCAUGGAACUCAUUAAACAACAAUUGUUCACAUUCUUCUUGAUCAAUUAAAUUUGUCUUCCACAUUUUCUUGUCGCUUGUGUUUCUCUUUUAUCUCAUAUUUUAAAGGACACACUCCUUGCCAUGCAGCGACUAGAGUUUCUUGGAGACUCAAUAUUGGAUUAUCUCAUUACUGUGCAUAUGUAUGAGAAAUAUCCUGGAAUGUCACCCGGGCAGUUGACUGACAUGAGGGCAGCAUCUGUAAAUAACGACUGUUAUGCAUGGUCAGCCAUUAAGGCUGGCUUGCAUAAACACAUACUCCAUGUGUCACAGGAUCUACAUAAGCAUAUCACGGAGGCUCUCGAGAAUUUUUACAGGUUGUCGUCAUCAUCAACUUUUGGAUGGGACAUAGACAUGGAGACACCAUUCCCUAAGGUUAGUUGUAAAAAUUUGGUGUAGUUCUUUUGGUUGGAUUUGACUCGAGCCACUUUAUAGGGUUAAGUAGUUAGUUAGGGUCAUUGGUUCAAAAAUAGUGGUUGAAAUUUAUCCUUCAUACUUUUUUAUAAAGUGCAUAUGUAUGAUCACAAUCUCAACUAUUGAUUUUCAAAUCGAUGACUAUAAUUACUUACUUUGCCUUCUAAAGGAAUUCCCUCACUUUGGAUGAGCCAAGUUCCAUUUGGUCAUUGUAGUAGAAGGCUUGAAAUAAUGCUAAUCUAUAUAUUUACUGGUAGUUGUAGAGUUUGAACAGGGAAAUUAAGUUUUUUUAUAGUGAGUUUGUCUAUAAAGUGUACAAGAGUGCAUUAUCCACCCUUAAAUUUAAUGGAUUAAGAUCAUUAUGUAUUUUAAAUUAAAUCGAGGGUGGACAUGUCCUUACAUCUGCAUUGCUAAUUUAUAGUUUGAGCAAUUCUUCUAGCAUGAAAGUUUUAUUAGAAAGCUGUUAUGAAUGCCUAAAACCAACCUUGGUUGGAGAGAAAAGGGAAAACAAAGUUGAAUAUUGUAUGGGUAACUGACAAAUGCAUCAAAGUCAUUGUAUUCUAUUCGUAAGUUGUUUCAUGAAAAUACAUUUAAACUUCUUGGCAUUUUUCUUUUAUGUUUACAACAGCAUUAUUCUGGUUUUGAGUUCUUCUCUUGCAAUCUUUUAAGUUUGUGAGUACACUAGGUGGCGUGCACCAUUUCUAGAAAUAAUAACUUAUUUCCUUGUUAGUACCUUCUCUAUGUAACUGCUGAGAUUGUUCCUAUUCUUUGUCUGAUAGGUACUUGGCGACAUUAUAGAGUCUCUGGCUGGAGCAAUUCUUGUUGAUUCAGGAUACAAUAAGGAGGCUGUGUGGAAAAGUAUUAGACCUCUUUUGGAACCCCUUGUGACACCUGAAACAUUCAAGCUCCAUCCUGUCACAGAGUUGCAUAUACUAUGCCAGAGAAGAAAUUAUACUAUGAAUAAAAAAUUGUACCGUGAAGAUGGCGGUGAUCUUAAUUGUAUAAUAAAAGUAGAAACUGAUGAUGGGGUCAUUCACCAGCACAAGUACAGGGGUCCUGCUGAUAGAAAAACAGCCCAGAAGCUAGUCUCCAAGGAAAUUUUGAAGAGCUUGAAGCAGUAAACAUACCUCAAGACUCAAGUGAUGUUUACUUGCCUUGUAUGCGUAUAUUCUUUGAGCAAUUGCAACUGGGCUUAUAGUUAUAGAUAAUAAAUAACUAGACUGUAAAAUAUUUGUAAAGAAAAUGAAGAUGUAAUGAUUUUAUACAUAUGGAAAUCGUAAGAAGAACUAAAUUUGUUUAAUUUUGUUUAUAGAGGGCUUGAUUAGCUAUAAAAAAUAAAGGGACCAAAAUCACACAUCAUUUAAAGUAAGGGACUGAAAAUAUAAUUAAGCCAAAAUAAAAUUAAAACGAUGGUUCACAAGUGUUAACCUUGAGACUUGAGAGGAACAUUUAUAUAUAGGUGAAGCAUGGUGCAUUUUCAGAUGCUGUAAGCUAUGACGUUUUACUAAACAUUAUUGUUUGAAGUUUGAAUGUUUCUAACCAAAUAGGAUUGAAUGAACUCUACGAAUUUACGAAGAAAACUAAGAAAGCUCAGGUUUUAUUGAAUAUAAUCAAUAUAUGCUGUUUUUUUUUCUUUUCUUUCAAUGUAUUUUUGACCUCUUAUCCAUGUUGCGCUCUGGCAUUGGACUAUAAGAAAAUCUCACGUUUAUGAACCACCACAAGUAUAAUUUUAUAAUAAAAUAUGUUUGACCGUAACGAACUAAAAUAAGACAAAUGUUUUUAAAAUGUGUUUGACUAUAAAUAUAUACUUUUCAAUUAAAUUUUAGUUUCAAUUUGUUUCACAAAAGAGCUUUUGAAAUGUAUUGUGACUAUCGAGCUACCACUCAUGAUAGUCCAAUUUAAGGUAUCUCUAUCGGCGGUUUUAGUAAGUAUGAAAUCUAGUAUAAAAAGAAAAGAAGUGUACUAUGCGUGGAAUGGAGGGAUGCUCAAUUCUCGAAUUAAGUGCUCGUGAGUAACCCGCAUAUAGGGAUGGCAAUGAGUAGGGUCUGGGUAGGGUACUAUAGUACCCAUCUCCGUACCCGCGUUUUCAAAAGAUACUUGUACCCGUCCCAUACCCGCGUGGGUAGUAAUUUGAAUGCCCGUUCACGUACCCUUUGAGUACCUAUAUGCCCGUACCCGUGCCCAUUACCCACAGUUUAGUUAACGAAUAUUUAAUUUUCAUUAUCCAAAAGAAAAUAAUAUAUAACUACUAUUAUAAAAUAAAGAGCAUUAAUUAAAAAUACAAAAGACUAUCCAAAUAUUUAAUAAGUAAAACCAUUCAUUUUUAAAAGAGUAACUUAGAAACUUAUAACUUUAAUUUAGUUUGUUGAUAUAUAUAUUUCAAAGUGUGUAUAUAUAAUAAAAAUAAUUAAUAAAGUGUGUGCGGGUAUGGGGCGGGUUGGGUACUAUACUACCCAUACCCGCACCCGUACCCACUAAUUUUUGCGGGUAAUUACCCAUACCCAACCCCAUACCCAUAUAGCAGGUUUUUACCCUACCCAUUAUGGGUAUUUUGAGCGGGUACCCAAUGGGUCCGAGACCCAUUGCCAUCCCUACCCGCAUAGUAAUGAACCGAUUAAUAUGCUACUUAAUGACCUAAUUAAUCACGAAACAUAAUUCUAAUAGGUAAAGUCUUAGAGGUGGAACAUGUUUGGGUAUCGGCUGAUUGAAUUCAAAAAGCACAUUUCCUUCUUUCUGAUUCAAAAACUCCAAUGGAACCAAAUGACCGAAUUUUAUUGAAGAAAUGUGCUUUUACUUUUUUUUAACUUUUAAGCAAACACACAUAAUUAUAAAGCCUAUAAAAGCCUAGGGCGACGAAGGUUUAAAGUUAAAAUUCAUCAUUCUAAUGCUAAUAAGAGCUAGACUGUGUUUCGUCACUGAAUCUAACUCUAAAGUUUGUGAGAAUAAAACAUAAUAAUAAUAUACGCUCAGUUUGUUAUAGCAUGAAUUGAUAAGAAAAAAAAAUGCUCAAGAGAAAGUUUGAUGAGAGAGAGUUCAUCCAUCUCCUUUGGUUACGACCUUCUUAGCCUAGAUAGAGUAAAAUAAGUGGUUCUACUCUGCAUUUUACAAUGUUCAAUUUUGAAGAGAAAUUCUACAAUAUGUGCAUGAGUAAUGUUUAAUACACACCUCUUUUUUGAGGUGGAGAGGUGGAAUGGUGAGAGAGAUAGGAAGAAAAGAAAAAGUAAGAGAGAGAAAAUAUGAGAUGUGAUUGAUGAUAAGAUGAGAGAGAUAGAAAUAAAAAGAGGUGGAAAUGGAGUGUUUAAAAAAUGAGGUGUGUAUAUAUCAUUACUCAUACGUGCAUUUCUUUACUUUAUCUCCACAUUACAUUAAUUAUUUGUCCCUGGAGGGUAACUCAAGUGGUAAAAGAUAAGAGAUAUAAGAGUUGGAUGAGAUGAAAGAUGAAGAGUUCAGAGUCCGAACCCUAAGAAAGACUAAUUUACUAAACUUUAAGAAUCUUAGCAACGCCAAUAUUGCCACUAAACCCCAUUUGUCAAUGACUGAUGUCAUUCCAAACCGAACCACCAAAACUGCUUGAGUUUUAUUUUUUGUUUUGUUUGAGAUUCUAUUAAGUGGGUAGACCUUUCCCAACACAUGCUUCUUUAUAUCGAACCUUAGACUAAAUGCUUAAGGAGUCAAACUAUCUACCGAUCGUGCUGCACCUUGUUGUUCUAGUUUUCUAACAAUGCUUGUUCCACCUCAAUUUACUUUACUUUUGCUCCAUUUAAUUUACACUUGAACAAUUUUAUUCUGAGAAAAAAAGCUGACCAAACUUUACCAUGCUGGUUUGAAACUCUGUCUUUAUCAUCUAUGCCGUUUCCAUAUGAAACAGUGCAGUGCUGUAUAUCCGGUACCAUCGCACCAAAAGGAGCAAAAUGGCAGAAGAAGACGCGUCACAAGAUGAGCAUUCAAUUUCUAUAUCAAAGUCCACCAUAUACUUUGAUUCUUUGUUCUGCUUCUGGUUUCCAUUAGCAGCAUUGCAUCCAUUAAUGGAAAAACAGAGUAUUUGUGGUGUGAGAAUUGAAACACAUGUUGAAUGGUGAUUGGUGAGCAUUGCAUGAGCUUUCCCUUCUAAGCAACACCCACUCUGAAUACACAACAAAAGAGUGCUUCACAAAUAUAGAAAAAAAGAGAAAUCAUGUCAAUGUGAUGUGUUGAAAACACAGAUAAAAAAGAAGAUAAAUGACAUGAACUAGUCACAUUCAUCUUCUUUUCACUUCUCUCAUCUGAAGCCAAAGCUUGUACCUUUUCGUCUCCCUCUAGCAACCCUUUUGCUCAAUCUGGGGUUUUCUUUUAUUUUUUCUGCUCUUUAUCUCUUCCAUAACAAGAGAAUUUGACUGUAGAUUUAUCAAAGAAACUAUGGAGGAAGCACUUCUGAUGGAAAUAGAUAACCAGGUCACCUCAGAUGCUCUUCCAUUUGCUAGAAGGUGAGUAUCAUGCUCUAGUAUUGAGUUGUGCAUGCAUUUUGAUUGUGUUGUUGGAGACAUGGUUAGAAAUGUAGAUAAAACCAUUCAAGUAAGUAGUCUUUACCUAACAGCUUAAGUCUAUGACCAAGUGAUAGAGAGUUCGAAGUUUGCACCCUAAAUUCUUCAAAUAAAAUAAAAAUUUGAAUUUUAGCAUACGGUAGAUUGGCCUGUGCACUGUUCACGCUUCAACUACAAGUAGACUCUUGCGUGAGGGGGUGUGUUAGAAAUGUAAUAUAAAAUCAUUCAUUCAUGUGUUUUUCGGGUAAUUGGUUCCUUGAGAGAGAUUGUAAAAUGUAAUGUCUUCUCUUUGAUUUUGGGGUUGAAUUUUUUUCUUUUUCUGUAGCUAUCAGCUUGAAGCAUUGGAUAAAGCUAUCCGGGAAAAUACCAUAGUGUACUUCGAGACUGGUUCAGGCAAGACUUUGAUAGCUAUCAUGCUACUUCGCAGCUAUGCUUAUCAACUGCGAAAGCCUUCGCCUUUCAUUGCAGUGUUCUUGGUUCCCAAAGUUGUGUUGGUUGGUCAAGUAUGUCACUUUCUCAAUUAUGGCUUUGCAAAUUUGAGUUGCAUUUUUUUGAUGGCUACACCCUUCUUGUCAUUGGCUUGUAAACUUUAGCAAGCUAAAGCCUUGGAAGCUCACACUGAUUUAAAAGUGGGAGCCUAUUGGGGAAAUUCGCGUGUUGAUUUAUGGGAUGCUGAUAGGUGGAAACAAGAAAUAGCGAAACACGAGGUGAGGGCUUUUGUAUAUCUAUCAGAACUAAAAGAUGUCCUUGUCUAUUAUAUGAAUAUAUUUUGAAUUACCAUAAUCUAUCCGUUUGUGUUAUGUGUGACAUGUUCCUGUUUCCCCUCCAUUUUGGUGUCUGCUAUUUGCAGUUUCUCAACUUUAUAUGCUUGUGUUAUGCAUAUGCAAUCCCCCUUGCCAUCUCUUCCCCCUUCCAAAAGAACAAGAAAUAGACCAUUUCCUAUUGAUUUUGUGGAUUCCACAUAGUCCAUCUAUAUUACACAAACAUAUAAUUAAUUAACUUUCGUUGAUUUAGUUAAAAAUACCUGAGACAAAAAAUGAAAAGAUAACUUAGAGCAACUUUGGGUGCUUUCAGAGCAAUUUCUCUGUCUUACCUCUAUUCUGUAUUUCCCUCUGAUUGUUCCUAUUGAAAUUCAUUGCUUGCACGUAGUGUCUGAGUUGUUGUCUAGUUUGGCAAUUUCCUCUUUAUUUGCAAUGUGUACUGAGUUAAAGCUUCUUGUCUACCGAUAGAUAGUUCAUGGUUGCUUCUGAAAUUUAUCUUUGUAUGGUGAAUAGAUAAUUGGUAAUCACUGUCAGUAAUGCUUUUGAAUGUUAUAGGUUCUUGUCAUGACGCCUCAAAUAUUAAAUGAUUGCUUGAGGCAUAGCUUUAUGAAGCUAAAAAUGAUCAAGGUUUUGAUACUAGACGAAUGCCACCAUACAAGGGGCAGACACCCCUAUUCACUUAUAAUGACAGUAAGUGUUAUCCCCUCUUCAUAGUUUUUAUUUAACUGGUUUCUGUCUUUGAAUUUCUUACUAAUUCUUACUAUGCUAGUAUAUUUUAUUUUUCUAUUGGUAAAAUAAGGUCCAAAGACCUGUUAGAGGGGUAAAGUGGGAAUUAAACCUUCUACCAUCAGGCUAGUGUAAAUAUGGGGUGUGGUUCAAUAUGAUCCGUGGCUCAUUGGCAACUUCAAAAUAUUCUGCAUCUUCUAUUUUGGUCAAUAACAAGACUGGCCAUCCAUAUUUUGGAAGGUCAGCUAUUAGAUGAGUAAUAAGCAGUUCUUAUGAGAAGUUUGUUUAAGUCAUGUGUGCAGUAUGCAAUUAUCUCCUCAGAAAACUAACUAAUGAAAAGUACUUUUAGGUCUGUUCAUACACUUGGAAGCAAAAUGUUAGCAUAUAAAUGACAUUCGACUUAUGGUGACAAGAAUUGGUCUGGACUCUGGACUAUAAAUAGUUGCAUUUCAUCAACUUAUAGUUGCAAUUAUUUCCUUUGUUUUUAUGGAGCAGCUACAGGUUAUUUUCCUAGUUUUGUAGGUAGCAGUUCUUACUGCUCAAGCCUUGAAACGUGCACCAAUGCUAAAAGUUGUUAUUUUACAAUGCCGUUACAAUUUUUACUCUUGUGACUAUUACACUUUUCUAUUUCUAUUGAAGUACAAUUCUGUGUUACUGUUUAUCUUGUCAUGUGCUGUUUGUUUUACAUUUUAUUUUAAUCAAAGGUUCAUACAUGUAUAAGUGAAGCUGUAAUCAGGGAGUUCAUACCAAUCGCAACCCCAAAAUUCAAGUUUUAUAAGUCAAAUGCACUUGGAAUUGUGUCUCAAGGAUUAGCAAUUAAUCUCAACAUGUUAAAAGAGCAGGUAAGUACACUUAAGCUAAUAAUUUUCAAUGUAUGUUCUUAAACGACUAAGAAAACCUGAAACUCCCCAUGUCCUAAAAGGGUAAAUGUGAGUACGCCUUUGUGUCAUUUAUUUUACUGAGUAACAUGUUGUGUUCAAAUCAAUGAACGAUUGCUAUAAUUUAUUUGUUUUAUGUUUGUUACCACUUUACAUGCUGUGCAUUUAUUAUCAGAUCAUAGUUGACUGUUACCUUUAAGUGGAUAUUUUGUUCUUCAGCAUGAACUCUUACUCAGAAGUCCAGAUUUCACAACACCAGCAGCCGAGUCUGCAGAAAAAAAUAUAAUGCAGAUCUUUCAUGAUUUAAUUUAUUGCUUGGAGGAUCUUGGUGUUUGGUUGACUUUGAAGGUUCUCACCCUUCUCUUGAAGUGAAUUUAUAACUCUAAUGUAUGUUCAUGGUUGCAUCAUUGACAUCAAUUGUUUUUUUUUGUGAUAGGCUGCAGAGUCCUUAUCUUCCAAUGACACUGGGUGUCUUUCAUGUGGAAACUCUGCAAAUAAAAUUGUUAACAAAUUUGGUUUGGCUACUGUUCGGGAACUGAAAACUCACUUACCAUCUAGUAAUGAUUCUACAACACAUGAAUAAAUCAGCCUAAUUAAAUAUAAAUAUUUUGCUUGCCUUCUUUAGUUAAUUUUAGAAAAUGCUGUCUUACUCAGGUUCUCAGUGGUCUAUUGGUGACAAUAUGAAAUAUGAUGUGGAAAGGGAGCUGUUGACCUCCAAAGUUUGCUGUCUUAUUGACUCUCUACUUGAGUACAGGUUGUCCUUAUGCCCAGGUUUCAAUCCAAACAAAUUCUACUGUGGUUUUGAAAUUAUGUAUGUGUGCUACUUUUGUGGAUAGGUCUGGUCCCUAGGCUUUCCUUGUAAUUAGAAAGUCUGAAGAUUUUAUAGGAUGUGUAAAUGCUUUAACUAGCUGAUCAAUAAUUUAUCUGUUUCUAUUUUAUGUACCGAUCUUUUUACUGAAUAAAUUUUGAUGGAUCUACUAUACAUGCUACACUUACAGGGAUUUGACUGACCUUAGAUGCAUAGUUUUUGUGGAAAGGGUCAUUACAACCAUUGUCCUUCCGGCUCUGUUAAAUGUGGAGCUUCCAAAAUACCAUAGGUGGAAGACUAAGUUCGUUGCAGGAUGUAAAAUUGGAUUUCAAAAUCAAUCCAGGAAAGAGCACAAGGAAAUUGUGGAAGAUUUUAGCAAGGGAUUGGUACGUUGCUUUCUUAGAUAAUCUGUUGAAUUUUAAUCACCACACACUAUUUCUUAUCAAGGGGAAUAUUUUGAUAUACAGGUCAACAUCAUUGUUGCAACAUCAAUUUUUGAAGAGGUUUUAGAUGUUCAAAGUUGCAAUUUGGUUAUUAGAUUCAACCCAUGUCACAAUGUGUGCAGUUUCACACAGUCCCGUGGCCGUGCAAGAAAGCGCCAUUCUGAUUACAUAUUAAUGGUUAAGAGGUUAUAUAUUUUUUCUUUCUAUCCCCAGUAUUGUGAUUACUCUAGCUAUUAGACAAGUGCUAAUUAGCAUGUUGCAUGCAGAGUUAUGAUAUCAAAUCUCUCUGGUUUGCUAGUUGACGUAAUAUUUCCGCACACAACUUAUUUUGUUCUGAUAUAACAGUGGGGAUUCAGUUACAUGUUCAAGACUAGAAAAAUACCUUUCUAGUGGGGAUAUUAGAAGGAAGGAAUCCUUGUGUCACUCUUCACUUCCAUGCGAUCCUUUAGAAAGUGAUCUAUUCCAUGAGGAAACAUAUCGCGUUGAAAGCACUGGCACUAUUGUCAAUCUUAGUUCUAGCAUCGAUUUAUUACACUUGUAUUGCUCACGGCUCCCUGGAGAUGGGUUAGUUCACUGCAGCCCUUAUGACAUGUUAAUUUUUCUUCACUUCAAUGAAUCUAAGAUAUGCUUUCGUUUGCAUUUUCUUUAUCUAGUUCUUCCAAAUUUAUCCCAUCUACAUUUAAAAUCUCAGGUACUUUAAGCCGACUCCAAGGUGGGACAGAGAAACUGGAACCUUGUAUCUUCCUAAGAGCUGCCCUCUACCGGACAUACCUGUACAAAGUGACCGAAAGAUCUUAAAGAAUAUUGCAUGUCUUGAAGCGUGCAAGCAACUUCAUAAGAUCGGAGCUUUGACAGAUAAUCUUGUUCCUGAUAUUGCUGUUGAAGAAGAAGAGGUGGUGGAAUUCGGUAACGUCAUGUCUUCUAUUCAUUACCUCAUUAUUAGUACUUAAAAAUGAAAAUCUGUUUAUCCAUAUAUUUCUUUGAACAUCUUCAACUUCAAACUGUUCUUACAGGGAAUGAACCUUACAAUGAGAAACAGCCAAGUUAUGUACCACUGGAAUUGGUGAAUCAGGUCUUGAAACACAGUGAAACAACCUACCAUUGUUAUUUGAUAGAGUUAAAACAAAAUUUUAGCUAUGAUAUCACUGUUCAAGACAUCUAUCUUGCAACGAGAGCUGAGCUUAAUCGAGAAAUUGCAAGCAUGCAAUUUGAUAUGGGUUUUGACAAAGGUACCUUGUCAGUAAGCUUCAUACACAAAGGAACUAUUCGUCUUUCCCCACAUAUGGUAUUUCUCUGUUACUCCUUUUGUUGUAUCUAGCAUAUUUUCAGGUGUAGGGAAAAGUCAAUGAAGUUAUUGUUUGUUUGUUUUAAUGUUACAG
rnacentral:lncRNA from 1 species